rnacentral:lncRNA from 1 species
CCAGGGGCAAGAGUGAUAAACUAGAAACAGCUUGAGUUGCUGGAAAACCAAGUGUGCUGUAGACAAGAGCUCAGCAUGAAACCGGACCCGCCAGCAGGCCCCAGAUUGUGGAGAGCUUUUAGGUCCAGCUUGAUUGAUUUAAGACCACCUGGCUGUGCUGAGUAUGUGUGUGUUCCACCCUUGAUGCUAUGUUAGGAAGAGAACACGAGACAGGAGGCUGCUUUCUUGAUGCAGAGCCAGGCUGAGAAAAGUAAAUACCAGAAUGUGUACGAUGUCAGAUGGGCAGAGGCCCAGCAGAGAAUGGAGCAAAGGAAACUAUAAGGGCAGCAACCUCAAGGCUGGGGAGUUCAGCAUGCAAAGAAGAUCGACCUGGCAUUGGUGCUUAAGCACCAGAGAACCAGCACCUGAGAAAGGCAGAGAAUAGAACUCAGCAUUACCGACCUGGAGUCGGGAGCUCCAGAUCUGCAACUCAUUUCACCUCCUUGGGCCUCAACUCCCACUUUCUACAGGGGGAAGUUUGGGCUUGUGAAGAUCUUAGAUACCUUCCAGCUCUACGUGCUCUAUGGAAGAAAGCCAGUAUUUAUUGAAUGCCUACUAUGCGCUCAAACCCGGGCAAUGCUAUGGGGCAUUUGGCGACAAUUCAGUGGACACGAAGCCUCUCGCCCAUCCCUGAUUCAGGAUUCCCCACAUUUGCAACAAGCCCUGCAAACUAGGUAGUCAUUGGGCCUGCCGAAGACUGCAUAACAUGAAUCCAAUCAUGAGAAAAGAUCAGACAAACCCAGCUGAAGGACCUUCAAUCAAAUCUCUCUCCUGCGAACUUCCAAGUCUCAAAGUGUGGGAGGUGAAGGAACGACUUCAGAACUGUUCCCAGUUGAAGAAGACAGAGCUAGACACAACAGGUAUUUCCGAACUGAAUCCAUUUGCAAUAAAUCAUACAUUGGGAAAAAUUGGCAAAACUUGAAUGGUGUCUGAAGUUUAGAUGAUACCAAUUCAUUAAUGCUAAUUUUUUUGAUGGCUAGAUUGUAUUUUUAUAAGAGAAUGCCUUGGUUUGUAGAAAACACAGUAAAAUAUUCCAAUAGCAUUGGGCAUCAUUAUUUGGCUCUUUCAAAU